rnacentral:rRNA from 1 species
CAAUAGCGUAUAUUAAAGUUGUUGCAGUUAAAAAGCUCGUAGUUGAAUUUCGGGUCCCCGCGCUCGGCGCUUCAUUGUGCCGUCGUGGUGUCCCUCCUCGCCGUAAGGCGUCCUUUACUGUGAAAAAAUUAGAGUGUUCAAGGCAGGCAAUCGCUUGAAUACAUUAGCAUGGAAUAAUAAGAUAGGAUCUUGUCUAUUUUGUUGGUUGCGGACAACGAUAAUGAUUAAUAGGGAUAGUUGGGGGUGUCCGUAUUGAGCUGUCAGAGGUGAAAUUCUUGGAUUUGCUCAAGACGAACUACUGCGAAAGCAUUCACCAAGGAUGUUUUCAUUAA